rnacentral:rRNA from 1 species
UACGGGGGGAGCAAGCGUUGUUCGGAUUUACUGGGCGUAAAGGGCGCGUAGGCGGUCGUGACAAGUCACUUGUGAAAUCUCCGGGCUUAACUCGGAACGGUCAAGUGAUACUGUCGGACUAGAGUACAGAAGGGGCAACUGGAAUUCUCGGUGUAGCGGUGAAAUGCGUAGAUAUCGAGAGGAACACCUGCGGCGAAGGCGGGUUGCUGGGCCGAUACUGACGCUGAGGAGCGAAAGCAUGGGUAGCGAACAGG